rnacentral:rRNA from 1 species
GACGAACGCUGGCGGCGUGCUUAACACAUGCAAGUCGAACGGAAAGGCCCUGCUUGCAGGGUACUCGAGUGGCGAACGGGUGAGUAACACGUGGGUGAUCUGCCCUGCACUUCGGGAUAAGCCUGGGAAACUGGGUCUAAUACCGGAUAGGAGCCAUUUUUAGUGUGAUGGUUGGAAAGUUUUUUCGGUGUAGGAUGAGCUCGCGGCCUAUCAGCUUGUUGGUGGGGUAAUGGCCUACCAAGGCGGCGACGGAUAGCCGGCCUGAGAGGGUGGACGGCCACAUUGGGACUGAGAUACGGCCCAGACUCCUACGGGAGGCAGCAGUGGGGAAUAUUGCACAAUGGGCGCAAGCCUGAUGCAGCGACGCCGCGUGGGGGAUGACGGCCUUCGGGUUGUAAACUCCUUUCGCUAGGGACGAAGCUUUUUGUGACGGUACCUAGAUAAGAAGCACCGGCUAACUACGUG